GGACAUUUAGCUCAGGUAGGUUUAGAGCGCUACUUUGACAGAGUAGAGGACAUCGGUUCAAAUCCGAUAGUGUCCA
rnacentral:tRNA from 1 species